UAGAGUUUGAUCCUGGCUCAGGAUGAACGCUGGCGGCGUGCCUAAUACAUGCAAGUCGAACGAGGUGCUUUGUAGCAAUACGAAGUAUCCUAGUGGCGAACGGGUGAGUAACGCGUUGGUGACCUACCCCAAAGUGUGGGAUAACAGUCCGAAAGGAUUGCUAAUACCGCAUGUGGUCUCUGGGUUUAGAAACCGGUGACUAAAGGAGCAAUUCGCUUUGGGAGGGACCUGCGUCCCAUCAGCUAGUUGGUGAGGUAAUGGCUCACCAAGGCGACGACGGGUAGGGGACCUGAGAGGGUGGCCCCCCACAAUGGAACUGAAACACGGUCCAUACACCUACGGGUGGCAGCAGUAGGGAAUAUUGGUCAAUGGGCGAAAGCCUGAACCAGCAACGCCGCGUGUGCGAUGAAGGCCUUCGGGUCGUAAAGCACUUUUCUGGGAGAUGAGAAAGGACAGUAUCCCAGGAAUAAGUCUCGGCUAACUACGUGCCAGCAGCCCCGGUCAA
rnacentral:rRNA from 1 species